GUUGCCUCUGAAGCUGUUGACAGAAGACACUACAACAGGCAGGGUAGGUGUGGAUUUACAGUUACCAUACUGCGUUUGGAAAUGUUAGGGACAAAUAUUCACAGGCUGCAAUGGAAGAAUCAUAUACCCAAGACACUGCCUUUGUGUGUCAUCUUGCAUAUCUUGAAAGUGGGUGUACAGAAGGCCUGAGUCCUAACUGAAGCAACAGUGGUGUAGAGAGAAUCAUCCCAGGGUAAAAGCCAUCACUGCAACUAUGCAAAACAAUGAUCCCUAAUGAAGAAUCCAUCCUUCCCUCCAGCGUUAUCAACUGAACCACACAGCUUGGUGUCAUCAUCAGACUUGCUGAGAGUGCACUCAAUCCCACUGUCCAUGUCACCAAAGAUGUUGAGUAAGACCCGUCCCAACACCGAUUGCUGAAGGAUACCACUCGUUACUGGUCUCUAGCUGGACAUUGAGCCACUGACCACAGCUCUUUGCAUGCGGACAUACAGCCAGUUCUGUAUCCACCAAGUGGUCCAUCUAUCAAAUUGAUGUCUCUCCAAUUUAGAGGCAAGGAUGUCAUGCAGGACAGUAUUGAACUCUGCACAAGUCCAGGUAGAUGACAGCACCUGCUCUACCCCUGUCCAUCAGUUCUGUAGCCCUAUCACAGAAGCCCACCAAAUUGGUAAGGCAGGAUUUCCCCUCAGUGGAGCCCUGCUGGCUGUCUCCAACCACCUUGCUGCUUUUUAUGCACCUUAGCAUGCCUUCCAGGAGAAUCUGCUCCAAGAUUUUGCCAGGCACAGAGGUGAGACUGACUGGUCUGUAGUUCCCUGGGUCAUCCAUUUUCCCCUUCGUGAUGUUGACCAUUUGUCAAAUUGUCAAAGUAAAAAGAAGAGUCUGGCUAAAUUUGCUCAUAAUGAUCCUUUCAUUUCCAGCAGUUAUUUCUCAGAUUUUUUCGCUUGCUCCAGUUGCUGAAUCUGUGCUGAUGUCUUCCUUCUAGCACUUUCAAGUUUGGCGAGAUUCAAACCAUAUCAAACCUUGCCAUCAGAAGUCAUGAGUUAGUCACUGAGAAGCUUUGUAAGAAAGGUUCCUGUGUACUGAACUGUUGAUGUCUUCAUGAGGAAUGUUUGUGAUCUUAAUUUGACAGUCUAUCUGUUCAUUCUGCGGUAACCAGUAUUCUUUUCUGAUUAGUUUUUGCUGGGCAAUGAGACAUCUUGUAAAUAUAUAAACUUAUAACUUGUAUAUAAAAAAAAUAAGUAUCUCAGAUGAUUAUCUGUGUCACUGCAUCUUUCAAAGCAAAAAAAAACCCCACGUAUUAUUGUUCUGAAUGUUCAGGAACUACGUUUCAUAUAUAAUCUCUCAAAAACAUUUUGAUUACACAGCAAUCAUAACUUCUGUUUUACUAGAAAAACAGAUUACCACAAAAAUUUGUGAAAAUUGCA